CAGUGCUCGCGCUGAGAUGUUACCACUGCAAAUACAAAGACAGUUCAUCUGAAGAAUGCAAGCAAAAUCGAACAAAAUGUCCUCUGGAGUGUGGCUCUGUCACCAUAUACAGCAAUGGCGGUCCAUUAUAUAACAGUAAGAAGAACUGCACAGAUCCUGCCUUGUGUGUUAUUGACCACAUAAACUUUGGACAAAACGAAAGAGUCUUUAAUCCCCAAUGCUGCGACACUAACCUCUGCAACACUGAAGAGGCACCAGCAAUGCCACGAUAUUCCAACGGGAUGAUGUGUUACACGUGUGACUUAUUUAGUAGAGACUGCUCAAAAAUUGUGACCUGCUCAGGUGAUGAGAACAAGUGCUUCAGUAUAAAAGAAAGUAUAACUGGCAUAAAAACAAAAGGAUGUGGGAACAGUGUAAUCUGUGAGAAUAGUGUAUUAAAUACUCUGGGCUCUAUGGCUGGUGCUCAGACGACGUGCUGUGCAGGAAUUCUGUGUAACAGCGGUCAGUGCUUGAAACAGAGUCUCUUCCUGCUGCUGGUGCCGCUUCUUUCUCUCUUUUCCCUCUGAUAUGUUUUUGGAUCUCUAGAGUUUUUCUGUGAUUUAUAGACAUCCAGUUUUAGUAGUAGUAGUAGUGGUAAAUUAAGAAUAUUUCCAUAUAAUCAUGAUGGUGCUUCUUCUUCUUCUUUUUUUCUUUCUUUUUUUUACUUUCUCUCUACUGGUUUUGGUAAAGGAAAACAUACUUGGUUAAUUGAAGAUAAUUCUUUAUUUUUCAAUGGGGGUAAGAUAGGGUACACAAUUACUAUGCACAUCUGUCGUUUUUAUUUAUCAUGUCUCCACCAGCUAGCUGUCCACACUGGAUUUGAAAAAAGAAUGACCUAAAUAUAACAGUCCACCAUAAAGAUAAAAAAAUGAAUUAUACAAAUUUAAC